rnacentral:lncRNA from 1 species
AAUGUAUUUUGCUUGCCAUCCCUGGAAAAAGGUAAACUGAACAAGUCUCGUAUUGGAAUAGAGCAGAGACUGAAUUUGUUGAGAUAUUCCAUUAAUGAAGCGGGCCAAGUUUAUAGUCUAUACUGGACUUGGAGCUGUAAAUUCACCUCCCCAUUUUGGCAUUUUCAAGUUCUCAUCCACUUUCUGCAGCAACCGUCUUGUAUAUAUGUACUGCAAAGAUAAUCUUGUCCAAUAAGUACCCUGGUGCUAAAUUUAUGGUAGUGUUUGCAAAAACAUAUUUUUAAUCAAUUUCCAUUUGGUUUGGGCAAUUGAAAAGUUCAGUCACAGGAUCUUGUUCUUGCUAAUCUAUAAUGGUCUUUUUCAUUAAUCGUUUGGGCACUUAUUUAUCAAUGUUCUUUAUUGGUAUUAUAAAGGUUGAACUCCAACCUUAAGGGUCUCCCACCACCCCCGCCCUGGAGCAUCGUGAGGGAGGUAAAUCGCAAGUUAUACCAAUCAAUGUUCUUUAUUGGUAUUAUAGCUCUCAUAAAGAGGUGGUUCGUGUCACCAUGUACCUAGAAAUAAAUACUCGGCUCAACGUGUUUGGUCCAGACACUGCAUUGAUUUCCAAGUUCUUUCACCUCCAUCCCCAGAUUUUCAAUCUGAACUUCACAUCACAUGGUAACUAAUGUUGGACGCUGGACUUCGACCAAAUAUUAAGGUGGGACAUGUUAACUAUGUGAUUUGCGACCUCCUCGUGAUUGUAGUUGAAAAUAGUUGAAAAUGGAAUUGUGUAAUAGUGGAUCUCAAGAUACGACUAGUCUUUGAAAAAGGAGAUGAUCUGCUAAUCGGAUUAUGUACAAGAUAGAACAAUUUACUGAAUUGUACACUGCAAAAUUCUUCAAUUUCAUGAAGUUUCAAUUUUCAUUGUAUAUGCAAAUAGAUUCAAGAUUCCUUUUAAAAUUCUGGAUGACGUUAGGUACCAAACUGAUUUUAGUACAUCUAUUCAUCCCCGAAAUCGAUGGACAAUCAAAAUGAACCAUACAUGUGCUGUAGGAUAUUUUACUAGCCUGCUUUAUGGAUUUUCAAGUAAAAUUGGCAUUAGAAUUCUCGUAUAACACCAAUUGUCAUUUAUCUAUCGAUAUACCUUUAUUCGGAGUAUUAUGUGGGAGAUGGUGUUAUUCACCUCCAUAUUAGAUCGAGGUUGGAGACUUCAAUUGGUAGGCCUCGAAAUUGUUCAAGACGUGCUCAUAGCUGCAAAAUGAUGAUGAUAAAAUCCAACAUUGAAUGUCAAAUGCAAGACCAAGUGUGUGUGAAAAAUUGAAAAAAAAAAAACUAUGUGAUUUGGAAAGAUACGAAAAUUUAGCCCCAUAUUUAUAGAUGUUUCAAAAUUUCAUAAAAAAUAAAACUCGCUGUCUAACGAUUAAAGUUACCCAAUUGGAUGGUCGAGUGCACAAUAUAUUUCACAUUUCAAUUUUGUGAAGACCAUGCCCGAUCCAUCUCAUGCACUAAAAUUAGUUUUUAGGAGUUACACCGAAUCCAACUUUUGAAGAAGUACAAGUCGAACCUCGUUUUAGAAAAUUGAACAAUUCCAAUAUAAAUCGAUCCACUAGUCAAAAGUUUUAUGGAGGAACAAAGCAGUCAAAGAAGCAAUGUGAUAACAUGAACUAGAAACAAAAUAAAAAAUAUCCAGAACCGUUUAGGUAAAUUUUAAAAAAUGUAAUUUUAAUGAAAGGAGAUCCUAAUGCCUCAUUAUUUUGGCUCAUUGAAGUUAGUCAAUUUAUAUGUAUAUUCUUAAAUAUGUAAAUUUUAGUCGAGUUGGGUAUUGAAACUUUGUAAUUACUAGAACAAAGGCAAUACGAGGGAACGCCUAUUUUUAGCAAUUAGAAAAUAUGGUUUUUUGUAAAUCAUGUCCAAGUUUGAGGCUGAAAAGAAAAAGAAAAAAAAAAUAUUUUAUGAACUAAAACGUAAACAAAAUUGAGUGGCUAAAAUGCAUAAGAAUAAAAUAAGUGGUGCAUUGUGCAAUUCCUGAGCCAAGCUCACAGUUAAAACCUAUUGAUUACCGGGCAACUUACAAAAAUACCCUUAAAAUUUGGAAUGUUUUGAAAAAUCAUAUGAAACAUUUUUUGAAAGUAAAAAAUACUAUGUAAAAUGAAAAAGUGACACAAUGUCACUUUUUUUUAUAAAAAUUGUCACUUUUCUGACACAAUUCAAAAAAAUAUGACAUAAAUUUAAAAAAGUGACAAACACUCCAAAAGUAACAAAAUUGAAAAAAAAAGUGAUACAAAUUCAAAAAAAUAAACUAACAAACACUAAAAUAAUAUCAUCCAUUUGUGCAAUACCAGUAAUUAUUUUCUUAACAUAAUUAGUGUGUCGAGGAUUCAAUAUCAAAAAAUGUAUUUUGCUUGCCAUCCCUGGAAAAAGGUAAACUGAACAAGUCUCGUAUUGGAAUAGAGCAGAGACUGAAUUUGUUGAGAUAUUCCAUUAAUGAAGGGUUCCAAGUUUAUAGUCUAUACUGGACUUGGAGCUGUAAAUUCACCUCCCCAUUUUGGCAUUUUCAAGUUCUCAUCCACUUUCUGCAGCAACCGUCUUGUAUAUAUGUACUGCAAAGAUAAUCUUGUCCAAUAAGUACCCUGGUGCUAAAUUUAUGGUAGUGUUUGCAAAAACAUAUUUUUAAUCAAUUUCCAUUUGGUUUGGGCAAUUGAAAAGUUCAGUCACAGGAUCUUGUUCUUGCUAAUCUAUAAUGGUCUUUUUCAUUAAUCGUUUG